GGCAACCCACUUGGGUUCCCUGCGAUGUUGUGGAAGGGUUGUUGUUUUGCUGUUUCCAGUAAAUGUUGGUGUUGCUCAGUUUUUGGGUCCACACUGUGUUUAUGAGCUGUAACACGCACUGCAAAGGUCUGCAGCUUCACUCCUGAGGUCAGCGAGACCAUGAACUCACCAACCUGCUGGGAGGGAUGAACAACUCCGGACGCGCCACGUUUAUGAACUGUAACACCACGAAGGUCUGCAGCUUCGCUCCUGAGGCCAGCACGACCAUGAACCCAUUAGAAGGAAUGAACAACUCCAGACGCGCUGCCCUUAGGAGCCGUAACACUCACUGUGAAGCUUUCACAGGAUCACUCUGGCUGCUGUGUUGAUCCUGGACUGUCAGGGUACAAAGGUAGAGGAGACAUUGCGGUGAUCCCAGGGCCCUGGAGAGAGGAGUGGCAGUGGAACUGAUGAGAGGUGCUCAGAUGCUGGAGAGAACUAGAGUGACUUGCCCAAGGUCACACAGCUAGUCAGCAGGAGAGCCAGGGAAAACCCCAGCUGACAUCUUUUCUUCUGGAGACAGUACAAGAUGACGUCUUUGGAGGGCUCUUCAAAUAAAGUAUGAUGCAAAUAAAAAGAUUUUGCCUUUUGGAAACUUCUUCCGAAACCCCUUAUGGUAUUUCAUCAAUCACAAAAAUGGGAAUUGAGUCACCUGCCCGAGCCCUGUAACCAGGACAGUUGUAGCACACGCUGAACGAUGGCCCUGACAGAUGUGACUGAGUCUCCCUCGCCUUCUGUUUUGUUUGUGUGUCCAGAACUCCUAUUUGUGAGAAAAUUGUAUUCCCUGCGCUUGAGUCCUGGUCUUCUGAGCUGACAUAAGGAACUGUAAGCAGUGGGGGCUGCCAUGCAGCAGGGCUCCAUCUGCCCCAAGUCUCUGUGACUGCUGCUCGCUGCACAGAGGCCCUGGGUGAUCAGAGGCUGCACCGGUGAACCUGUGCAGCCCCGCGCAUCCCGACAGGCCACACGUAAUUUCUGCCUCUCAGUGAAAUCUACCUGCAAGAUUUGCUCUUAUUUUCUCUGCAGCAAACAACAGGAUGAACUUUAUUUUCUCAUUGAAAACAAGGUGCCGGGAAGUGAUUGCGCACCCGUCGGAGAUGCACAGAGCCUUGGGCUUCAGACUCUCCCCUGAAGCCCCGAAAAGCCACCCUCAUUGACCACAUGUACUGAGUGCCCAUCCGAGCAGGACUGCAGGAGCGGCUGGACUGUCCAUGACCCCUAACAACCCACAUGUCCAGAGAUGGCGUUUCUGUCUUCUUGGGAGGGAGGCCUGUUGAGCUGCAUCUGCACCUCAUGAUGCCCGGAGUGGCACGUGGAGCUGCACCUGCACACUUGGCUUCUGGUUGCCGGGGUGCCCAGGGAGUUCACCAUCGGAUAGCAGCCCGCUGCCUGCCUCUCUCUGCCCUCCUGUGGGACACUCCUCGGCUCCCAUGACCUCUCGGAGCCCACAUUUGCCCUCCUGCUCACCUCACCAGGCCCUGGAAGUUGCAGGCUGCAGGUGGGCAAGGGAGGCUGCCACCACUGCUUGGGAUCCGGUCUCCUGGUGGCUGCCUGCAGAGACCGCCCAGAUAAGGGGACGAGGAGUUGGUGUCCUGUGAGACAAACUUCAGUCAAUGGCAGACAAGAGUCAGUGGAUGAAGUCUGCCUUCCUUCGUGGACUGUUUUAUGAUACUGUUUAUAGUUUAGUCAGCCUCUCCGGAGACAUCCUGUAAGGCAGAAAAAUCACGGUUUUGUGAGGAGCUCAGCAAUGCACUUGUGUUUGCUCUCCCUCCUUCCCUCCUUGCUCCUUCCUUCCUUCCCUGCUUCCUCCUUCCCCUUUCUUCCUUUUCUGCUUCCUCUUUUCCCCCUUCCCCCUUUUUUCUUUCCUCUUUUCUCCUUCCUCCUUCCCUCCUUCCUUCACUGAUACUUUUUGGGAUUACUCUCCCUAGUAAAGCAUAAGCACAAAUGCCUUGUCCUUGGUUCUGGUUUCCAGAGAACCUGGGCUAAGAUAAGUUUAUUCCAGAAUAUCUUGAUCUUGAAUGUCCUUCUCUGUCUCCUUCCUUCCUUCUUUCCUCCCUCCCUCCCUCC